rnacentral:lncRNA from 1 species
AAUUAUCCAAUUUCAUGGACCAAUCGAUAUCGGAUUGAGUCCAAAACUUGGGGAACAUCAUAAUACUGUGGGAGGAGUCAUUUGGUGGGUUUUGAGUGAAAUCCAAUCCCCAAAACUAUACAAUACACCAACCACUCCAUUUCAGAACAAACUUGGUACGAUCCGGAAUUGUCCAAAUUCCAAGACCAAUCGAUAUCGGAUUGACUCGAAAACUUGGGGAACAUCAUAAUUUUAUGGGAGGAGUCAUUUUGUGAGUUUUGAG